rnacentral:rRNA from 1 species
UACGUAGGCAGCGAGCGUUGUUCGGAAUUACUGGGCGUAAAGAGUGUGUAGGCGGUGCUCUAAGUUCGGGUGUGAAAUCUCCCGGCUUAACUGGGAGGGUGCGCCGGAAACUGGAGUGCUCGAGCGUGGGAGAGGAAAGCGGAAGUUCCUGGUGUAGCGGUGAAAUGCGUGAGAUAUCAGGAGGAACACCUGCGGUGUAGACGGCUUUCGUGGACCAUUGCUGACGCU